rnacentral:rRNA from 1 species
UUAAAGUAGUAAGGGCGCAGGGUGGAUGCCUUGGCACUAAGAGCCGAUGAAAGACGUGAUAAGCUGCGAAAAGCUUCGGGGAGGAGCACAUAUCCAAUGAUCCGGAGAUAUCUGAAUGGGGAAACCCGGCAGAGGAAACCUCUGUCAGCGUGCAGUGAAUACAUAGCUGUACGUGGGGAACCCGGGGAACUGAAACAUCUAAGUACCCGGAGGAAGAGAAAGAAAAUUUAUCGAUUUCCAAAGUAGCGGCGAGCGAAAUGGAAAGAGCCCAAACCGUGAUGCGUGCAUCGCGGGGUUCGGACUGCGUUGUGGCAGACGUAAGAUAGGAGAACGGACUGGGAAGUCCGGCCGGAGAGAGUGAAAGCCUCGUAUCCGAAAUCCCAAGUCGCCUAGCAGGAUCCAGAGUAGGACGAGACACGAGAAACCUUGUCUGAACGAGCGGGGACCACCCCGUAAGGCUAAAUACUUCUUAGUGACCGAUAGCGCAUAGUACUGUGAAGGAAAGGUGAAAAGUACCCCGGGAGGGGAGUGAAAGAGAACCUGAAACCCUGUGUCUACAAGCUGUGGGACCUCUUUAUAUGAGGGACUGCGUACUUUUUGUAGAACGGUCCGGCGAGUUGUGCGUACUGGCGAGGUUAAGGACUUAAGGUCUGGAGCCGAAGUGAAAGCAAGCGUUAAUAGCGCGUCAAGUCAGUGAGUGCAGACCCGAAACCGGGUGACCUAUCCAUGUCCAGGUUGAAGCUUCCGUAAGAGGAAGUGGAGGACCGAACCCACAUCCGUUGAAAAGGGUGGGGAUGAGGUGUGGAUAGCGGAGAAAUUCCAAUCGAACCCGGAGAUAGCUGGUUCUCCUCGAAAUAGCUUUAGGGCUAGCCUCAUGAGAGUCUUAUGGAGGUAGAGCACUGAAUUGCCUAGGGGGCGUCAAAGCUUACCAAAGCAUAUCAAACUCCGAAUGCCAUCAAGAUGAUUCAUGGGAGUCAGACCAUACGAGAUAAGUUGGAUGGUCAAAAGGGAAAGAGCCCAGACCUACAGCUAAGGUCCCAAAGUACGUGUUAAGUGGAAAAGGAUGUGGGGAUUCUAAGACAACUAGGACGUUGGCUUAGAAGCAGCCAUUCAUUGAAAGAGUGCGUAAUAGCUCACUAGUCGAGAGUCCCUGCGCCGAAAAUGUCCGGGGCUGAAACACGACACCGAAGCUUAGGAAUGUGUAAACAUUGGUAGAGGAGCAUUGCUAGCGGGAUGAAGCCAUACCGUAAGGAGUGGUGGACUGCUAGGAAGAGAGAAUGCCGGAAUGAGUAGCGAGAUGAAGGUGAGAAUCCUUCAGGCCGAAUAUCUAAGGUUUCCAGAGUAAAGCUGAUCUGCUCUGGGUAAGUCGGGACCUAAGGCGAGGUCGAAAGACGUAGUCGAUGGAUAACAGGUUGAAAUUCCUGUACCGCAUAUAAACAGAACUGUGGGGACACAGACAGGGAAUGGAAUCCGGGAGUGGAAAUCCCGGUGCAAGCGAGGUAGGAGUGCUGUUGGCAAAUCCGCAGCACGAUCUGAAGACGUGACGCGUACCGAACAUAAGUAGGGAAGUCCAGGCCCCUGGCUGUCAAGAAAAGCCGCUAUCGUUUUAUAUGUGCCCGUACCGCAAACCGACACAGGUGGAUGAGGAGAGAAUCCUAAGGCCGACGGGAGAAGUAUUGUUAAGGAACUCGGCAAAAUGACUCCGUAACUUCGGGAGAAGGAGUGCCAUGAGAGUGGCCGCAGAGAAAUGGCCCAAGCAACUGUUUAGCAAAAACACAGGUCUAUGCAAAACCGCAAGGUGAAGUAUAUGGGCUGACGCCUGCCCGGUGCUGGAAGGUUAAGGGGAGAGGUUAGCGCAAGCGAAGCUUUGAACUUAAGCCCCAGUAAACGGCGGCCGUAACUAUAACGGUCCUAAGGUAGCGAAAUUCCUUGUCGGGUAAGUUCCGACCC